rnacentral:rRNA from 1 species
GUGUGUGCAAAGGUAGCAUAAUCAUUAGUCUUUUAAUUUAGGACUGGAAUGAAAGGUUUAACUUAUUAAAAAUGUCUCAUAGUAAUAUUUUGAAAUUUAUAUUUUAGUAAAAAAGCUAAAAUUCACUUUAAAGACAAGAAGACCCUAUCAAGCUUCAUAAUUUUUAAUUAACUACAACCUAAUAAAAAAAUUAUUCUGCUGGGGCAGCAAACAAAAAUUUUUUGUUUUAAUAUCGUGAAUUAUCAUUCUAGAAAAAUCAAGAAAUUCCUAAAAAAAAACAAGUUACUGUAGGGAUAACAGCAUAAUUUUUUUAAAGAGUUCUUAUCAUCAAAAAAGUUUGUGACCUCGAUGUUGGAUUAAGAUUCCUAAUUUAUGCAAAAGUAAAAUAAGAAGUCGGGGGACUNNUAGUGCU